GACGAACGCUGGCGGCGUGCUUAACACAUGCAAGUCGAACGGAAAGGCCCUGCUUUUGUGGGGUGCUCGAGUGGCGAACGGGUGAGUAACACGUGAGUAACCUGCCCUUGACUUUGGGAUAACUUCAGGAAACUGGGGCUAAUACCGGAUAAGAGCUCCUGCUGCAUGGUGGGGGUUGGAAAGUUUCGGCGGUUGGGGAUGGACUCGCGGCUUAUCAGCUUGUUGGUGGGGUAGUGGCUUACCAAGGCUUUGACGGGUAGCCGGCCUGAGAGGGUGACCGGCCACAUUGGGACUGAGAUACGGCCCAGACUCCUACGGGAGGCAGCAGUGGGGAAUAUUGCACAAUGGGCGGAAGCCUGAUGCAGCAACGCCGCAUGCGGGAUGACGGCCUUCGGGUUGUAAACCGCUUUCGCCUGUGACGAAGCGUGAGUGACGGUAAUGGGUAAAGAAGCACCGGCUAACUACGUG
rnacentral:rRNA from 1 species